GACGAACGCUGGCGGCGUGCUUAACACAUGCCAGUCGAACGGAAAGGCCCUGCUUUUGUGGGGUGCUCGAGUGGCGAACGGGUGAGUAACACGUGAGUAACCUGCCCUUGACUUUGGGAUAACUUCAGGAAACUGGGGCUAAUACCGGAUAGGAGCUCCUGCUGCAUGGUGGGGGUUGGAAAGUUACGGCGGUUGGGGAUGGACUCGCGGCUUAUCAGCUUGUUGGUGGGGUAGUGGCUUACCAAGGCUUUGACGGGUAGCCGGCCUGAGAGGGUGACCGGCCACAUUGGGACUGAGAUACGGCCCAGACUCCUACGGGAGGCAGCAGUGGGGAAUAUUGCACAAUGGGCGGAAGCCUGAUGCAGCAACGCCGCGUGCGGGAUGACGGCCUUCGGGUUGUAAACCGCUUUCGCCUGUGACGAAGCGUGAGUGACGGUAAUGGGUAAAGAAGCACCGGCUAACUACGUG
rnacentral:rRNA from 1 species